GACCCUAAGCGCUGGAUCACUCCGCUUGAGUGUUAAUGAAGAACACAGCUAGCUGCGAGAAUUAAUGUGAAUUGUCGGACACGUUGAUCAUCGACACUUCAAAGGCACUUGUGGCCCUGGGUUCCUUCUGGGGCUACGCCUGUCUGAGUGUCA
rnacentral:rRNA from 1 species